GUGCUUGUAGCUCAGCUGGAUAGAGCAACGGCCUUCUAAGCCGUGGGUCGGGGGUUCGAAUCCCUCCAGGCACG
rnacentral:tRNA from 3 species